rnacentral:rRNA from 1 species
UGUGGUAACACACACUGGAGGACCGAACCGACUAGUGUUGCAAAAUUAGCGGAUGAGCUGUGGAUAGGGGUGAAAGGCCAAACAAAUCUGGAGAUAGCUGGUUCUCCCCGAAAACUAUUGAGGUAGUGCCUCGUGUGUCGCUCCAGGGGGUAGAGCACUGUUUUGGCUAGGGGGACAUGGAGUCUUACCAAACCAAGGCAAACUCCGAAUACCUGGAAGCGUGAGCACGGGAGACAGAGCACCGGGUGCUAACGUCCGGACUCAAAAGGGAAACAACCCAGACCGCCGGCUAAGGUCCCAAAUAACAGCUAAGUGGAAAACGAAGUGGAAAGGCCGUGACAACCAGGAAGUUGGCUUAGAAGCAGCCAUCCUUCAAAGAAAGCGUAAUAGCUCACUGGUCGAGUCCUUCUGCGCGGAAGAUGUAACGGGGCUAAGCUGUUAACCGAAGCCGCGGAUGCGCUGGUUAUCCAGUGCGUGGUAGGGGAGCGUUCUGUAAGUCUGCGAAGGCGGUUCGAGAGGACUGCUGGAGAUAUCAGAAGUGCGAAUGCUGACAUGAGUAACGUUAAAGCAGGUGAAAAGCCUGCUCGCCGUAAGCCCAAGGAUUCCUGCUCUACGUUCAUCGGAGCAGGGUGAGUCGGCUCCUAAGGUCAGGCCGAAAGGCGUAGCCGAUGGGAAUCAGGUUAAUAUUCCUGAACCUGCGUCAGAUGCGAUGGGGGGACGGAGCAUGGAAGAUCAUCCGGGUGUUGGAAGUCCCGGUUGUUUAGCGUAGGAGGUCUGCAGGCAAAUCCGCAGACGCAUCUCCAAGGCAAAGACACGUGCCGCCACGGCGGCGAAGUGAUCGGAAGUGCUUCCAAGAAAAGCCUCUAAGCUUCAGUCUGAUGCGGACCGUACCGCAAACCGACACUGGUGGGCGAGCUGAAUAUGCUCAGGCGCUUGAGAGAACUCGGGAGAAGGAACUCGGCAAAUUGACACCGUAACUUCGGAAGAAGGUGUGCCGUAGUACCGUGAGAGGAGAGACACCUUGAGCGGGAAACGGUCUCAGAGAAUAGGUGGCUGCGACUGUUUAUUAAAAACACAGCACUCUGCAAAGUCGAAAGACGACGUAUAGGGUGUGAUGCCUGCCCGGUGCUGGAAGAUUAAUUGAUGGGGUGAGAGCCCUUGAUCGAAGUCCCAGUAAACGGCGGCCGUAACUAUAACGGUCCUAAGGUAGCGAAAUUCCUUGUCGGGUAAGUUCCGACCUGCACGAAUGGCAUAACGAUGGCCACACUGUCUCCUCCCGAGACUCAGUGAAGUUGAAAUGUUUGUGAUGAUGCAAUCUACCCGCGGCUAGACGGAAAGACCCCAUGAACCUUUACUGCAGCUUUGCAUUGAACUGUGAACCGAUUUGUGUAGGAUAGGUGGGAGGCAGAGAAGAGGCCACGCCAGUGGCCUUGGAGCCGACCUUGAAAUACCACCCUGAUUUGUUUGCGGUUCUAACCACGGACAGUGAUCCUGUCUUGGGACCGUGCAUGGUAGGCAGUUUGACUGGGGCGGUCUCCUCCUAAAGGGUAACGGAGGAGUACGAAGGUACGCUAGGUACGGUCGGAAAUCGUGCUGAUAGUGCAAUGGCAAAAGCGUGCUUGACUGCGAGAGCAACAACUCGAGCAGAUGCGAAAGCAGGUCAUAGUGAUCCGGUGGCUCUGAAUGGAAGGGCCAUCGCUCAACGGAUAAAAGGUACUCUGGGGAUAACAGGCUGAUACCGCCCAAGAGUUCAUAUCGACGGCGGUGUUUGGCACCUCGAUGUCGGCUCAUCUCAUCCUGGGGCUGUAGUCGGUCCCAAGGGUAUGGCUGUUCGCCAUUUAAAGAGGUACGUGAGCUGGGUUUAAAACGUCGUGAGACAGUUUGGUCCCUAUCUGCCGUGGGCGUUGGAAGAUUGACGGGGGCUGCUCCUAGUACGAGAGGACCGGAGUGGACGCACCUCUGGUGUACCGGUUGUCACGCCAGUGGCAUUGCCGGGUAGCUAAGUGCGGAAGAGAUAACCGCUGAAAGCAUCUAAGCGGGAAACUUGCCUGAAGAUGAGUCUUCCCGGAGGUUGAACCUCCCUCAAGAGUCGUCCGAGACCAGGACGUCGAUAGGUCAGGUGUGUAAGCGCUGUAAGGCGUUGAGCUAACUGAUACUAAUUGCUCGUGAGGCUUGAUC